rnacentral:lncRNA from 1 species
CGUUUGUUUAGCUGGGUGGGAAGCCGAGCCCCGCCUGCCCGGGCCGGGAUUUUUCCAUCAGCCCCGCUGGAUUUUUCUAGGCGCUUCGUAGCAAAGUCUCUUGACGCGCGGGGUAUGCCCUGGUUUUAGAAUUUAUAUCCCCGGGGCUCCGUUAGGGAGCGCAGUGCCACGAACGCGAUCGGAGCUGGCUCCGAACUACACCCAGAAUGCCGCAAGUUUAUAGGAAAAUGAGCUAAUACCCUACCAAUGAAUGAAAAUAUAUAUGAACUUACGCUUUGGAUGACGUGAAUGAAACAUAUCCAGAAAGCAAACCUUAGAAGUUUUUGUUUUCAUGGUCUCCUUUCUCCGUCAUGACUUCAAGAGGCUUCAGGAAACUGAUAACAUACGAAAAAUAUCCAACUGUAACCCUGAGUUACCCAAGACCUAAGACAAGCCAGGUGUGGGGACAUUAGUGACGAUGAGAAAUAAGGGGCAACAGGGCUGUUGCUCCUUUGGAACCCCACUCAAGGGCUGCAAGUGAGUGUGAGAUCAUCUCCUCGGCUGUUCCUCCCCAAGAGAGUAGAAGUCAUGGGGCUGAGAACCUCAAUCUUUUUCUCAACAGAGCCAACAGGAGCAGUGAAGAAGGUACCCUGAUAUAUUACCAAGAAGAUCAAGGAGGAAAACAUCGCAGGAACAGGUAUUUCGAGACAUUUGUGCACAUCUGGAAAUAUAAAGCUACAUUUAAACACUAG